rnacentral:rRNA from 1 species
AGUCAAUAGAUACCCAGGUAGUCCAUGCCGUAAACGAUGAUUGCUAGGUGUGGGGGGUCUGACCCCUUCCGUGCCGGAGUUAAACACAAUAAGCAAUCCACCUGGGGAGUACGGCCGCAAGGUUGAAACUCAAAGGAAUUGACGGGGGCCCGCACAAGCAGUGGAGUAUGUGGUUUAAAUUCGAAGCAACGCGAAGAACCUUACCAGGUCUUGACAUCCACCGAAUCCUGUAGAGAUACGGGAGUGCCCUUCGGGGAACGGUGAGACAGGUGGUGCAUGGUUGUCGUCAGCUCGUGUCGUGAGAUGUUGGGUUAAGUCCCGCAACGAGCGCAACCCUUGUGAAUAGUUGCUACGAAAGAGCACUCUAUUCAGACCGCCGUUGACAAAACGGAGGAAGUGGGGAUGACGUCAAAUCAUCAUGCCCCUUAUGACCUGGGCUACACACGUACUACAAUGGCCGUUAACAGAGGGAUGCAAUGCCGCGAGUGGAGCGAACCCCUAAAAACGGGUCUCAGUUCAGAUUGCAGGCUGAAACUCGCCUGC